CUCUGGUCAGUCCACACCAUCCCGGGCUGCCCCUCUGCCCGGGGCCCUCAGCAGAGUGGGUGCUGCAGCCCCAGGGGUGGGCGCCCCAGGGGAGGGUGCCAGCACCAGGCUCUGCACCGGAGGAAGAGAAUCUAGGUCACAGAUCCUUUUUGGGAACAAGUACAUCUGAUGCUGCCAAGGGAAACAAAGUGAACUGAAAGAAACAGGAGAAAAGGGAGAAAAGCGUCUUCAAAGUAACAGGAGAACGGGGAGAAAUGACUCGGUGAUUGAAACAGGGAUAAUACAGGAAAGGUAUUAUUGUAUCAAAAUCAAACAAGACACCAGAUGAAGUACAGGCAUCUGCUGACGGCCCUGAGGCUGAUGUUCAGGGCAGGUGGAAUGAAGUCGAAGCCAGUCUCUUCCCAGAGGUGCACAGCAGCAGGAGCAGAGGCAGUGGGACAAUUUGCUUCCAGAGAAACGCUGAGCAGACAGGAGGAGAUAAAUGCUUCCCCUGCAGGUGAUACAACAACAGAACCUGUAUGCAGAGGCACCGUGGGGUAGCCAUGCCCAGAGACCAUCCCAACUUCAUGGCGCAAGGGCACGAGCAAGAGCAUCAGCAGAGAAAAAGACCAUACUUACACAGCAUAGACCUUUCAAAGGUUUUUCCCAUUUAGAUUUGAUGUUCAUUUAGCUACAGAAAAGUGAAACCCCAAGUCACUGCCCCGCUCUGAAUGGCUUUACUAGGAGGUGGCAGCAGAGGGCUGUGCCAAUGGCACCCAUGGGAUGGCCACACUGCGCUGGGCCAGUGCAGCACCCACUUGCUGCGGCGGCUGUGCAAGGGGACUUGAUCCUCCAGCAGUGCCGGGGAGUCGAGCUGGCCUUGCACCGUGGGCCCAGAGCCUGCUGGCUGCGCUGGAAGAGGAGGGAAGAGCUUUAUGCUUAGCUCAGUUACUGGCUUGCUGGGUGACACUGGGCAAGUCCAGACUUCUCUCUGUGCCACAGCUAAGCCAAUGUCAUUUGGUGUCAAGACAUGGGUCUCUGCCCAGUACAAAGAGGCUGACAGGUGUUUGUUGAGAUUUUUGUGAUGGAGGAUGCUACAGGAAAGCACAACAAGAAGUCCUAAUCGAGUGUGAGGCCAAAGAAUCAGAUAUUCUUAUGUUUAACCCUUUCCCCUACACCUCUGCUUUGUCCUGUAGCACCUUAACAGGGCAGAGCUGGUCAUGUUUGGCCCUUCAGGUCAGGGAAAGGCAUAUGAGCCAUGACGCUGUAGCACAGCUGGAGAACAUGCUGUUUAUCAGGACCCUUUUGAACAUGGUGUCCUGCUACAGAUCCUGCCCUGGCUGCAUUACACCACUGCACUUCUCUCCUGUUUUGGGGUACCCUGCGCUGGACACAAGUGGUUGGAAGGGGCUGAACAAGAACAAGACCUUGGGGCUGUGAGGAGACAGCUGCGCAGCCCACACUCAGUGCACAGCCCUUCCCAGAUGAGCUUUACCACAGCAGAGACUUCAGGUUACUGAGUACUUGUAGACGCGCCUCGCCUUGACACGAGGAACAGCGAGGGGAACCAGUGGGGCCUGGACCUAGUCACUUUUAGUAAAGUGAAGUAGGAAACAUGUGGUGUGGUUACGCAAUUGCCUCUGGUAAUAACCCAGCCUUCACCUCCCCAUGGGUACUGAGCCAAAGAGUGGGAGGCUGAAAAAAAAUGUGCAAGUUUAGCACUUCAGUAGCAUGCACACAGAGCCCUGUCAAUAGACAGUAUGGUGAUUUUUAUUCCACCUACUGCUGACUGCCUUGUUCAUAUUUACCUUCCCUUCACUCUCAAAUAAGAUUUUUUAAAUCUCCCAGCUGUCAGAUCAUAUACACAGUGUGACAACAUGGGAUCCAGGAGCCCUGCUGAAAUCAUGUUCUUAUGGGGAGUCCUGGUUUGCUCAGCAGGAACACUGGUGUGGCAGGAAGGAUGCCAGAUCAAAAGGCAUCAGGAGAUCAAGUGUGGUGAUCUUGCACACUGCAGGGAAAGAGCAAGAAGUUUCUUCAAAAGGGGAAGAGUGAGAAGUUUCCCUGAAGGAGCCUUGUCGGUCCUGUGUUCAAUGUAAUGCCUUGCUUUUUUCUUGACUCUCAAAGGGUGACCCUUUAGGAGGUCGAGCAGAAAGAAACUUCCUCUUGCUGUUGAGCUACAGGACUAGCUGACAUGAGUGGCUUCUCCACCUGAAAAAAGUUUUGAGAAAACUUUUCACUGUUACUCUGAAUAAAAAAUUAAAAUGUACAUGAGUGAUGUUCCUCAGGAAGCCCUUCUCUGAUGCUACACGUUUCACAGCCAGUGGUGCCGGAGAUCUGAGCAUGCUGCUAUGCCACCUGUCUGAUGAAUCAGAUGGUGGCAGUCAUUUAACUGCAGACAGAACCCUGCCUCCUUAAUUGCCCACCAGGUAGAUGGCAAAUGAACUCAACAAAGAAAUCAUCAGAGAGCAAGGCUGAGUUGUUUCCUCCAAGCAUCUUGACACAUCAUCGUUUCUUGAUUGAAGGUUCCUCAGAUACAUUUCUGGUCUUCUCUGAUCAGUAAAUUGGUUGGUCAUCACUCACACUUCAUAUUUGACAGAGGGAGGGUGGUGAGGAGAAGACCUGAACAUCAACAAAUAGGUAGCAAGAUCUGGAAAAUAAAAGUCAGACAGCUGAGGUCUUGCUGUGCCAUUGCUUAACAGCUUGGCACUAUUGCCUGUGACACUGCAUUCACAGGCAUCACAGGCAUCACAGAGGAUUUUAGCCAAAAGAUGGGGCAACCGAAUUCCCUGGACCAAGGACUCCUUUGUCUAAUAAGAGUGCUGGGUAAACAAUUGAGGGGCCUAAGCAAAAUGCUGCUAGACUAAAGCUCAUCUCUCUGGGAAGAACCCAUUUGGUUUUUAGCUAGAUUUUGCAUCCUGCUGUCUGCAUUGUGAAUGAGACUCAUCAUCUACAGUAAAAAAGAUUAUGUUCAGUUUCCAGAACAAGUGUGGUCAUUAUAAAUCCUCUUCUUCUUAGCUAGGCCAUGACAUCAGCCUUUAGCUGAUCCUUCAGUCUGAACUCCACAGGAGCAGCAAAGCAAUUCCCACGGUGCAAAUAAACUCUACAAAGAAGGAUUUAACACAAAGGGAAGUAAGCUAGACAGAGCGUUUUAGUCAAAGACAUUCUCAUGUGAUUAUACUCUGUUAUCUCUAUUUUUAUUCAUAAGAACUUGCAUUUCAGAAUAGCUUUUAAUGUACUUCUAACAGAGCCAUGCACAGACCUGUAAGAGAUCCAGAAGCUGCAGGGCAGGCACGAGGGCACUGGCAGAAAACCAUAGUGAAAUUUUGAAUUUCCUAUUUCUCAUGGUGUUGUUGACUCAGUCCAAGGAUCUGCAUAACUGUUUCAGUGGACACUUAUAUAUGUCUCCAUUCUCUGGCAGCUUUUUAAAGAUGAAAUUUGGAACGCCAAGCACAGUAUAUCAGCAUCUGUACUUUUGAGGAGGCAGCAGUAUGGUACCUCAGAGCACCUCUUGGGCCAGUGAGCCUGAUAUUCUAACACUUGGGGAAACAGUUUACUAAGUCUGUUAGCCUUGCCAAAAUUAAUUCUAACCUUCUGAGACCCAAAACACUCCCCAAGUCUCUGAGAUUUAAUGAUAUGAUGCCUCAGGUUUAUCAGAUUACAGAGGAAGAAAUGACAUUCGGUUUAGUGGGUGUCCCUGUCUUGCUUAGUCAACAUUUAAUAUACUUGCUUCAGUUUCAGGUGCAUGCCACAAAACAUGUAGCUGAAACAAGACACCCAGGUUCCAGAAAUCUAGGAGAUGUUGAAACACAUUCUGAAGAAUACUGCUGUUCCCUGUGGGAUCAGGAGCCAGGGACAAUAUGGCUUCAAAUUAGGAGGAAGAGUAUGAGCAUGGGUUGCUUAUUAUCUGACUGCAAUCAACAAUUAGCAGUUUGAGUCACAGGAUAAAAUCAGGUAAUAAACAUUACAUUUUCAGCACGCAGAGGAGAUGUCUGCAGUGGGAAAUAUGCUCUUGGUGUUUUAAUAGUUCAGGUUUGGCCUAAGAGGAAAAGGAGGCUCCAAAAGAAUUUUAA